GGAUGUGAGGGCAAUCUGGCUGCGACAUCUGUCACCCCAUUGAUCGCCAGGGUUGAUUUGACUGAUCUGGCUGACUAGGUGGGUGUCCCCCUCCUCCCUCACUGAUCCAUGUGCGUCCCUCCCGAAGCUACGUGCUUGGUCGAAGAGGACGACCUUCCUCCCCGAGGAGAGGACUAGUCUUCGGUCACGGGUAUAGGAGUAGCUGUGCUCCCCUGCUAGAGCCUCCAAACAAGCUCUCAAGAACACUUGUUCAUACGCUGCUUUAGCAGAGGAAGAUAGAAUACCGAUUAGGAGAGCAGGCUUUGCAGCUAAGAAGCCUGGGUUU
rnacentral:snRNA from 1 species